rnacentral:rRNA from 1 species
UUUAAAGAGAGUUUGAUCCUGGCUCAGGACGAACGCUGGCGGCGUGCCUAAUACAUGCAAGUCGAACGAACGGAGGAAGAGCUUGCUCUUCCAAUGUUAGUGGCGGACGGGUGAGUAACACGUGGGCAACCUGCCUGUAAGUUGGGGAUAACUCCGGGAAACCGGGGCUAAUACCGAAUGAUAAGAUGUGGCGCAUGCCACGCCUUUGAAAGAUGGUUUCGGCUAUCGCUUACAGAUGGGCCCGCGGUGCAUUAGCUAGUUGGUAGGGUAA